rnacentral:lncRNA from 1 species
CCCUCGUCUCUCUCACUUUAAUUCCUUCCUUUCUUUUGGGAUGCCUCGGAGGCGGCGGUCUCAGGCCCUUAAAGGUCUCGAGGCGUGUCAUUGUUGUUAGGGUUUGUCCAAGCGAGAGAGAGGAGGGACUCCCCGUCACGCAUCCUUCCCUCCCUCAAGAGAUCGAGGCCAUGACGUCCAAGGCCUCGUUUUCGGCUUCCGCCAGCAAAUCCGAGCCAUCGGCCGGUCUUCAGGUUCGCCGAUCUCUGUCCCCCACCUAUCGGUUUCCGCCUUUAUGUCUUUUUCCCUCCCACCUUUUGUACUUCUCAAUAGCUGGUGCCUGUAAAUUCGAUUUCUUGACCUUGUCCCCUUUCCAAGCCCGGGGUUUUCCAGGAGAUUGGAUUUUUCCUGCAAUGUCGGUGGGUCAUACGAUUUCUUUCUGGUGGUUUCCAUCGCGAUGGAAGCCACAUUGUCGCAGGGUGCUCUUAUCUCAGCUGGGAAUUUUGGUUUCCCAGGGUGAACAGGUGUCACCCCAAAAGCAAGCUCAGUCCACUGUCUUGUGACCACCUGAUCACUCCUUAAGCGUGAUAUUUUUCAUUAACGUCAUCGUGUGAUGUGAAUGCAAAUUCGUUGCUCUUGCAUAGAUCCCGGCUCAAAGAUUUCAAAACAGUCUUGUUGCCGCAAGGCUCCAGUACAAGGAGAAAGUGGCUGUGGUCGGCGCAAGUCCGAUCUGGAGCUCGGUGGUCAGCGGAUCUCCGAGGAUGGUCGACAGCUCCCAGAUUCUGAAAAAGAAGUCCAGUCACUAGCAUUUCUCUGGUGGAGGACCCUUCAAUGCUUAGAAGUCCAGUCACUAGCAUUUCUCUGGUGGAGGACCCUUCAAUACUUAAGUUAGCCGGAGCUAUGAGAAUAUUGAGAGGGAGAGAACGAGCGGGUGUUUCUGGAUUUUUAGAGUCUAAGGAGCUUACCAAAGGGUCCUUUGGGUCUCCUUUUAUAGAAAGAAAGGAAAUACGUUAUCCUAUUAAUUGGUAACUGACACGGAGAAUUAAGACCCACAAUACGAUCGUGGGCAGUGGGCAGUAAAUUCUAUUAACCUACUGCCACAUUUUUUUGUAACUGCUUGAGAUUUGAGGGGGUUUCCAUCAUCCCAUGUUCUUCUUUGAAACAAUCUAAUGCCUUGGGUUCAUCUGUGAGUCAUCGGUUCCAAUCUGACCAUGUGGUCGGUAUGAGUCCAACCAGGUCAUCGGCUUAAGGCCGAGGACAUGGGUUAAUUCCCUUGUAGCUGUCUAGUGUUCAUUUUAAGGGAACCAAAGUGGGUGCUCACUGGUGGUCUGAAGAGAAAAAGUUGAGGUCUGGCGGUAUCCUCCCAAAUCAAGUGUCAAUAAAGAUUAUUUGUUUUUCAUAAUCCGAAGAGGCACUACUCUCAAAUGAAAGUCUGGUACACAAGUUAUAUGUAGAGGUGAAAGUGGUAUAGAUAUUAUUCGUUCGGAUUUGUUUUCGUAUUCGAAUCAAUUCGGAUAUGGACAGAAAUUUGAGGAUUCGACUAAUACCCAUAUCCGUAUCCAUAUUCAUCAAAGAAAAAUGGAUAUGGAUAGAUAAUUAUCCGAUCCGUAUCCGAAUAUCCGAAUCAAUAUAUAAUGCUUUAUAAUUUUGUAUAUCAUUUAUUAAUUUUUAUGAGAAAUAUACAACCUUAUAAACAUGUUAUUAACUUGAUUUAUCAUCUAUUUAGUAAUAUCUUUGAUUUUGUAGCCAUAAAGUUUAAUUAUUUAAGUAAUAUCCGUAAUUAUAUCUAUACUUCUGGUAUCAAAAUUGUAUCCAUAUCUGUUUAAAACAAAUAUGGAUAUGAAUUUUUGCAUCUGAACAAUAUCCAUAUCUGUAUUUAUAUUCAUCAAACAAAACAAAUAUUGAUAUGGAUAUGUUGGUAACCAAUCCAUAUCCGAUUCGGUUUCAGUCCUAGUUAUAUGCUUUCUUGAUUUGGUAUGAUCUUGGAAUCUUGGACCUAUUUAUGUGCAAUCGGUUGACAUAAUUCCAUAACUCCCAAAUUCCUCUUAGAUACUAUACAAAGUAGAUGAAAACUUAAGUCAUCUCCUUUUAUGCUGUUUGUUUCUUAAUUUCAAUCUUCUUGCUGGUUUUAACAUUAGCUUGUUUUGUGGUAUGAUCUUUCGUUGGCAUGGCCAAUUGUUUCCCUAAGAUCCAAUAGCACUUGCAAAGGAUUUGUACUUAAUGCGCUCAAAAUAUGCACAAUCUCUUCCAAGAUGUUGUCAUGAGUGCCACUUUAUAUGAUGAAGGAAAAACCAUGUGUCAGCUCAACCAUCAUCUACUAUUGCUUUACCAAAAAUUUGCAAACAAUGCUGAGUGAAUUUGCCACAAUGUGAAUGCCAUAUCGCAUUAUUCUCCUUCCAUUUGAUUACUAGGCAAAAACUUGAUUCGACAUGUGCUUGAAUUCCGUGUGCUCAUGAUUGUUAAACCAUGACACAUGAUAUGGUUGGCUGUUGUUCAAUACCUUAAAAAGAGAUUCUUACCAGCAUCUAACUCAUGUGAUGCACAGUAUGCAGUUUCUUUCUCCUUUUUCUAAUUGUUUGAAAUGCAAUGUAGAAUGCAUAUAAUAGAAAAGAUAACAAAAAUGUAAUGAAAUAUAAUAGUUAUAAGAGUCUAAUUCAUGAUUUUCAGAACCGUCUCAAACCAGACGGUUCGGGGCAUGCCGAACCGGAUCGACAGAGAAUCGGGACGGUUUCAGCUUGAAAAGUGGCACACGCCGGUGCCGAGGGAGAAAGAGAGGGAAAAAGAGGAAGAGAGAGAGGAGGAGAGGGAGAGAGACUACAACGCCAUCAGAGACCGACGGUGGUUUGUUGUGGUUGUCGGAGGGUGGUGAAAGCCUCUGCAGCUCGAUUCGUCUGAUAGGACUUUUAAAUAAGAGAGAAAGAGAGAGGAGGGAGCGACUUACUGGAGGG